rnacentral:rRNA from 1 species
UUGACGGGGGCCCGCACAAGCGGUGGAGCAUGUGGUUUAAUUCGAUGAUACGCGAGGAACCUUACCUGGGCUCAAAUGUAUGUUGACGUAUUCUGAAAGGGAUACUUCUUCGGACAAUAUACAAGGUGCUGCAUGGUUGUCGUCAGCUCGUGCCGUGAGGUGUCGGGUUAAGUCCCAUAACGAGCGCAACCCCUAUCAUUAGUUGCCAUCAGGUCAAGCUGGGGACUCUAAUGAAACUGCCUACGCAAGUAGUGAGGAAGGUGGGGAUGACGUCAAAUCAGCACGGCCCUUACGUCCAGGGCUACACACGUGCUACAAUGGCCGGUACAAAGGGCAGCUACCUGGUGACAGGAUGCUAAUCUCAAAAGCCGGUCUCAGUUCGGAUCGGAGUCUGCAACCCGACUCCGUGAGGCUGGAAUCGCUAGUAAUCGCGCAUCAGCCAUGGCGCGGUGAAUACGUUCCCGGGCCUU